AUUAGGAGACCCCCAGAAGCCGCCGCUGCAUGGCCAAUUCUCGGCCACCUUCCCCUCCUAGGAGGGCCUCAACCGCCACACAUAACCCUAAGGAACAUGGCAGACAAGUACGGACCGAUCUUCACUAUCAAGCUUGGUGUGCAUCGAGCUCUUGUGUUAAGCAGUUGGGAGCUGGCUAAGGAGUGUCUCACCACUAAUGAUAAAGCUUUUGCCAAUCGCCCGAAAGCUUUAAGCGGGGAGAUUCUGGGUUACGACUAUGCCGUGUUCGGUUUUAGUCCUUACGGAUCUUACUGGCGUCAGGUGCGAAAGAUGGCCACGCUGCACAUCCUCUCCAACAACAAGUUGGAGUUGCUGAGGCACGUCCGAGAAUCCGUGGUGAAGGUGUCCACGAAGCAAAUAUUUGAUAUGUGGGAGCGAAACAAAGGUGUCUCAAAUAAGGUGUCGCUGGACAUGAAGAGGUGGUUUGGAGUCUUAACAUCAAAGAUCAUGUUCAGGAUGGUUGUUGGAAAGAAAUUUCUUGGAGCUAACUCGGCGCAGGAGAAUGAAGAGAACGAAAGCUUUCGAAAGGCGUUGAGGGAACUUUUAACACUGGCUGGUGAAUUUGUAAUCUCAGAUGCAGUUCCAUAUUUUAGGUGGUUGGACUUGGGAGGUUAUGAGAAAGCCAUGAAGAAAACAGCUAAAGAACUCGAUGGUGCACUACAAAGAUGGUUAGAAGAGCACAAGCAGAAGAGAAGUGGUAAUUCUAUGCAACAUGUCAAUGGUGACUUCAUGGAUAUGAUGCUUCUGUCCUUGAUGAUGAUUGUGUACAGGAGUUUGGCGGUUCAGUUACUGCUGAUACAAUUCUCAAAGCUACAUGCCUGACGGUUUUUCUAGGGGGAACAGAUACCACAUCAGUGACAUUAACUUGGGCUCUUUCUUUAUUACUCAACAAUCCUGAAGUCCUGAAGAAGGCUCAACUUGAGCUAGACAACCAUGUUGGUAGGGAAAGGCUAGUGAACGAAUCAGAUGUAAAGAACCUAGUCUAUCUGCAAGCCAUUAUCAAGGAAACCUUGCGGCUAUACCCUCCUUCACCUCUCUCACUACCACAUGAAUCCAGUGAGGACUGCACAGUAGGUAACUAUCAUGUAAGCUCAGGCACGCGUCUUAUUAUCAAUCUAUCAAAGAUUCAGCGCAAUCCAAAUGUCUGGCUGGACCCUUGUCUAUUCCAACCAGAAAGGUUUCUUACAACUCACAAGAACGUCGAUGUUAGGGGCCAGAGUUUUGAAUUGACACCAUUUGGAACCGGAAGACGAAUAUGUCCAGGAAUCUCUCUAGCACUUCAAGUUACUCAACUUACACUAGCUCAUUUGCUACAUGAGUUUGAAAUCACAGCUCCAUCUGAUGAACCGGUUGAUAUGAGUGAGAGUUCAGGAAUAACAAACAUCAAGACCACCCCACUAGAAGUCCUUCUCACCCCACGCCUACAUCCUAAACUUGAUGAAAAUGUUCACUAG